UACGGAGGGGGCGAGCGUUAUUCGGAAUUAUUGGGCGUAAAGGGCGCGUAGGCGGCCUGAUAAGUCAAAGGUGAAAUCCCUCGGCUCAACUGAGGAACUGCCUUUGAAACUGUUAGGCUUGAGGCCGGGAGGGGGUAGCGGAAUUCCCAGUGUAGCGGUGAAAUGCGUAGAUAUUGGGAGGAACACCGGUGGCGAAGGCGGCUACCUGGACCGGUUCUGACGCUGAUGCGCGAAAGCGUGGGUAGCAAACAGGAUUAGAUACCCCUGUAGU
rnacentral:rRNA from 1 species